GACGAACGCUGGCGGCGUGCUUAACACAUGCAAGUCGAACGCAGUGGCGAACGGGCGAGUAAUGCCUAGGAAUCUGCCUGGUCGAGGGGGAUAACGUCCGGAAACGGGCGCUAAUACCGCAUACUAUCAGAUGAGCCUAGGUCGGAUUAGCUAGUUGGUGGGGUAAAGGCCUACCAAGGCGACGCUCCGUAACUGGUCUGAGAGGAUGAUCAGUCACACUGGAACUGAGACACGGUCCAGACUCCUACGGGAGGCAGCAGUGGGGAAUAUUGGACAAUGGGCGAAAGCCUGAUCCAGCCAUGCCGCGUGGGUGAAGAAGGUCUUCGGAUUGUAAAGCACUUUAAGUUGGGAGGCGUUACCAACAGAGGAAGCACCGGCUAACUACGUGCCAGCAGCCGCGGUAAUAC
rnacentral:rRNA from 1 species